rnacentral:rRNA from 1 species
GAUGAACGCUAGCUACAGGCUUAACACAUGCAAGUCGAGGGGUAACGAGAGGAAAGCUUGCUUUCCUUGUCGACGACCGGCGCACGGGUGAGUAACGCGUAUCCAACCUGCCCCCAACUAGGGAAUAACCUUGCGAAAGUAAGACUAAUACCCUAUAAUUUCCUCAGAUGUCAUCUGACGAGGAAUAAAGAUUUAUCGGUUGUGGAUGGGGAUGCGUCUGAUUAGCUAGUUGGCGGGGUAACGGCCCACCAAGGCAACGAUCAGUAGGGGUUCUGAGAGGAAGGUCCCCCACAUUGGAACUGAGACACGGUCCAAACUCCUACGGGAGGCAGCAGUGAGGAAUAUUGGUCAAUGGGCGGAAGCCUGAACCAGCCAAGUAGCGUGCAGGAUGACGGCCCUAUGGGUUGUAAACUGCUUUUAUACAGGAAUAAAGUUAGCCACGUGUGGUUAUUUGUAGGAACUGUAUGAAUAAGGACCGGCUAAUUCCGUGCCAGCAGCCGCGGUAA